UCUCAAGGAAGGCAAGCAGGGCGCAAAUUACCCAAUCCCGAGACAGGGGAGGUAGUGACAAUAAAUAACAAUAUAGGGCUUUAGGUCUUUAUAAUGUGGAAUGAGUACAAUUUUAAAUCCCUUAAACGAGGAACAAUUGGGAGGGCAAAGGUCUGGUGCCAGAGCCG
rnacentral:rRNA from 1 species